AUUGAACGCUGGCGGCAUGCUUUACACAUGCAAGUCGAACGGUAACAGGCCUUCGGGUGCUGACGAGUGGCGAACGGGUGAGUAAUGCAUCGGAACGUGCCCAGAGGUGGGGGAUAACGCAGCGAAAGCUGUGCUAAUACCGCAUGUGAUCUGAGGAUGAAAGCGGGGGACCUAGCAGCAAUGUUUGGCCUCGCGCCUCUGGAGCGGCCGAUGUCAGAUUAGGUAGUUGGUGGGGUAAAGGCCUACCAAGCCGACGAUCUGUAGCUGGUCUGAGAGGACGACCAGCCACACUGGGACUGAGACACGGCCCAGACUCCUACGGGAGGCAGCAGUGGGGAAUUUUGGACAAUGGGCGCAAGCCUGAUCCAGCAAUGCCGCGUGCGGGAAGAAGGCCUUCGGGUUGUAAACCGCUUUUGUACGGAACGAAAAGGCUCUGGCUAAUACCUGGGGCUGAUGACGGUACCGUAAGAAUAAGCACCGGCUAACUACGUG
rnacentral:rRNA from 1 species